rnacentral:rRNA from 1 species
CAGUAGCCGCGGUAAUACGUAUGUCACAAGCGUUAUCCGGAUUUAUUGGGCGUAAAGCGCGUCUAGGUGGUUAUGUAAGUCUGAUGUGAAAAUGCAGGGCUCAACUCUGUAUUGCGUUGGAAACUGUGUAACUAGAGUACUGGAGAAGUAAGCGGAACUACAAGUGUAGAGGUGAAAUUCGUAGAUAUUUGUAGGAAUGCCGAUGGGGAAGCCAGCUUACUGGACAGAUACUGACGCUAAAGCGCGAAAGCGUGGGUAGCAAACAGGAUUAGAUACCCGCGUAGUCCCUGUCUCUUAUACA